UUGCUACCCAAUUUCAUACCCAAUUGGAAAGAUUUUGGAUUGGGUAUUAGGACAUAAUGAAGCUUUAUUUAGGCGAGCUCAGUUAAAAGUCCUUGUCUCCAUCCACAGCCAAGAGGCCGGCAAGGGUGGUGAGCUUACACAUGACGAGACAACAAUUAUAAGUGGGGCACUAGAUUUAAUUGAGAAGGCA